CGAAGCCGUCAAUAGCAUGACGCCAUUUUACAGUUGCGCUGCAUCACGCGCGAGUACGUUGUCGUUGAGUGGUUCUGAAAUCGCUGCGUUAGGGGCGACUGCAACCAGGCGUUGCGGCAAGUUACGGUGGAAGCUUCUGUCCGUGCUGUGUGAUUGCGACGAGGGAGACCGCCGCCAGCAGCAGCGUGUCGCCGAUUUCGUCUUUGCCGACAUCGAGCAAGUGUAGCUCGCCGGACCGUCACAAGCGCCCGAAGUGCUGCGGUUUGCACUGCAUCUUUCAUUGUGAUAUGGGAGAUCGCAACGGACAGAGACGACCAGAUGCAUACGAACGACUACCAGCGGGGAGUGACCUGUGCCAUAUUUCUCUUAACGUCUCAGGUAUUCAAGAAAUGGCAACAGCCAGAAGUCGCCAUCUUAUCCAGCACAUUAUGGGUGAGACAAAUUGUAGCAGGCACUUUUGCAAUUCUCAUUAGCAUAUGAUGCUAUCUGUUGUAAUUUUUGUGUUCGCUUUCCUGUCUUUAUGCAUUUUAGUAUUAUUGUGCAAAGGGUAAUAGUUUUACAUUGAGACAGAGUAAUCGUCCAAAGGGGAGACAUGGCUGGAGAAGACAACACACACAAGCCUCCUUUGUCCGUAUCUCUAUUUUGCGCAGUUACUCUGUCGUUAUCUACCAACAAGCCCAAAUUCCUCAUCAGCUACAUUUACUAAUGAUCUGUUAUUACAAUUUCAUUGACAUAACAUUGAAAGUACAGAAGUACACAGGAAGAGAGACUUGACGUGAUGAAGAGCCAUAGAACAAGGAGCAUCGCUGGAGCCAAUGUUUCGACAAAGAUUUUUCUUGGGUCCAGUGAAUUUUCUUGUUCUAUCACUAUUUACGGUUAAAAGAAAGCAGUAUUGCUCUUGCUCAAGUAUUAUGCAUUAUAGAAUAGAAAUUAGCAGGGUGAAAUAUCAGGAAUGUCAAAAUUCUUGUAUAUUCGCUAGAGUGAAAGCCAGAAAAACAAGAUGUUGAGAACCACAUUGUUAUUUUUCACUACCCAGUUUGGCCAGCUUCAUUCCGAGCUUGCACUUUGUUGCAUUAACGAGCACUGGAAUUCGUUAAUUGAAUUAGCUUGGUGAUUUACUUAUGUUAAGAGAUUUUGUACUUGUAUUAAUGCAGCUUACAUAAUACAUGUAAAGAAAUUUACAAUAACAUUUUAAGGUGGCAGGCUUGCAGUUGACUAGCAGGUCACUUGAUGGUAUGAGCUCAGGUUUCAACCGAGCUUCCAUGCACAAAUCGGUCGCACAUUUUUUUUUUCAUUGUUUGGAUUUUCAUAAACUUAAAGGGACACUAAAGCGAAAAAUGAUUUCUGCUGCAUCAGUGAAUUACCAUUCUACAACACCAAAAACGCCACUCUUACAACGAUAAGACGUUUGGCAAGCCACGAAAAGUGCAGGAACUAAAUAUGCGUGUAGACGCCUACUUAAGUUCCCGCACCUGGAGGCUGUGAUGUCUUGGAUUUUGAUGGCAUCUUCUAGGGCCUACUAAUUAUAUAUAGCGGUACAGAUUGACUACAUUGUGUUCUAAAGGAACCAAAUAACAAACAUGGGAAGUUUCGGGAACCUUUAUUCAGCCAACACAGCCCAAAUGCGAAAACAUACUUUAGAAUCCCUGAUGUCACGCUUACGUACCGGCGCUGGGGUUUCGGCACGAAAUUCAAAUACUGAUACUUGGGCCUUCAUUUUCUCAUCUAAUAAUCAAACUAUUUUUUUGAAAUGACUGCCUGCAGGGUUCUCAAACAAUGCUUCAUUAGUCUAAAUUGAUUUAUUGUUUCACUUUAAUGUCCCUUUAAGUACCGUUUCUUUUUUGGCGGGGUUCUAGUUGUGUAGUAGGACCUAACUGUUUGCCUUUAUUUGUAUUGGUAGCCAUGUUACACAGACAGCUCAAUUUUUAUUGUAAAUCGUGACGUGGUUGAACUAAGAACAUUUGUGCAAAUUUGUUGCAGGUACACUCUGGCGGCUCCUACCCCUGCGUCCUACCACCACCCUGUCCCGACUACGUCCACUAGGGAGUUGGCAGCUUUAGUGAUGAUGCCAAGCAGGCUGACAGCAGACAGAAAUAUUCAGGUUGCCUUGAAAUUUUACCCAAGCCAUGCACAUACUCGGGCCAGGCCUCUUGCGAACUACGUAUAACCAGGCUCAACGCAUUACUGUCGAGUGAGUCCGGAGAUCAAGGAAACCUGCUGUGCAACCAUCGCGCAACACUUGGUGACCCCUCUACGUGUUCCAUCUAUCCAAACAGCAUCACCAGCUGUUUCUUAUCUUAUCGAUCACUUAUCGAACCAUGGAUGAAUGUUGGGGUGGAGUGAUUUGAACAGACAUUCUAUUUGUCUCUUCAAAUUCUUUGCAAAUAUUUCUAUUAUUAUAAUUCAUAUGUUUCUUUAGUACCUAGUUUUUAAUAGUUCCUUUCUCGUAGCGUUCUGACCAUUAACUCCUGCUAUUAUAAUGUAUACCUGUCUUUAUGCCCCGUUUCUCAUAGUUCUUUUGUACUUGUGGAUGUAAUUGAUAGGUUCUUAAUUCUUGUUGUACAGAAGGCCAAAAUGCCAACUUAAGGCAUUUUUUCUUCCUUUUAUAAUCUACAGCACUGCAAUGUGUUCAAGAAAUGUAACAUAACACAGGCUCUGGUGCAGGAUAAAUUUAAGAGCAAUAUAGAGUACUUAUCUCAAGCACCCGUUAUUUUUGAAAAACUCAAGGAUAUAGGAGCACAAGAAAGAAAAUAUUGAUCUAGAGAAACAUGGCUUCCCCUCAUAAGUCUGGUAAUAAUGUGACUUCCCUUCACUGCAAAGAUACUGGUACUCGCAUGCAAGGUUUGAGACAUGAAAGCUAUGAUACCCUUGGCAUUUCUCGGUGCUUAUUUGCCACACUGACGAAUGUCAAAGGCAGCAUAGGUUAUAUGCACUCAUUGGUUGUAUUACACCUUUUGAGUAUUGCAUUUCUCAAACACACAGGUUUACAGCAGUGCUUUAAAUAGCAGAUGUAUUUCCUAAUUUUCAGAAUUUGUUAGUGCAAGAUUAAUGCUACAGAUCAUGUAUGAAUAAUUUUACGGACUAUAUGUCCAUGGAUGCAUGCUUCUUCUGAUGACGAAGCAGUGCCAUGUGGUUGGGGGAUGAAUGUCUUUAUUUCAGAUUUAAACAUUGGCUUCCAGGUCUGGGUUAGUCUCCUACACUGAGUAUUCUAGGUCAGAGCCCAUUUACUAGAGGAAAGUGAAUUAAACUAGGAAUUGUAAACACCAAAAGAUCUUGUUCGGGACAAUAAUGUGACAAUCAGCAAGGUUCUUUGUGCAUUCAUUUCCAAAUUUGUGAGAUUAUAUUUUGACUGGUUUCACUAACGCGAGAACAAAUAUUUGUUUGUUCUCACACUAGAGUUGGCUGCCCCCAUUGCCACACAACCCCUUUACAGGCUAAAAAUUCAGUGUAUUAAUAGGCUGUUUUUUGGUUUUGCGCACUCAGUGUUAAGGGAUCCAAACGAUGACAUACAACAGAAUGCAGAAAAAUGACUAAGGAAUACAAGCAGGGCGUGGGGCUUUUUAGGCAGAUGCGUGCAUGUGCUAUUUAUAAAACUCCCUAUGGUAUGCCUGAAGGCAUUUUCUAACCCUUUUGUAGAAACACUAACACCCACUUAUUAAGGGGAAAUGGUUCUCGAAACAACUUUUUUUAAUUAUUUGUACUAGAGGUUUGAAUAUACUGCCAUUCAUAGGGAGCUUUAUGUAGAUUUGAAUUGUCGUUGGUUUUUGUAUAGCUGGUGUUUUUUAGUUAUAUCCUACAUAGUGGCAAAAUAUUUUUAUGCGCACUUGUAAAUAUUUCCCAAUUAUUUUUUCAGGCUACAAUUUUUGGUAAUAAUGGUAUUCAUUGCAGAAAGGGCUAGUACAUGGCAUUUAAUAAAAAAGGUAUUGGUCUGUAGAUUUUCUGUCUUCAGCAUUUGUUCUGUUCCACAGCUGUUUCUCGGAAUCUGAAAUGAUGUACCCAUCUCUUUGUUAGCGAUAAACAGGGAACUCUGUCAGUAUGUUUUGUUUAAAAUGGAGCUGAUCAACCCAAUAGUUGGCUAUUUGCUAAUUAUAAAUUACAACAAUAAUAGUACAGGACCAUAAAAACAGAUUGAUGCUGAAUAACAACUGUGCCCAGCUACAUCCACACAGUUGUGCCACACAAUGUGCAGGUGUUCAGAAGAGCCAAAUGCCCCAGAGAGAAAGCAAGAGUAACCUAUUGUUUGUCAUCUUGUAGAAGCAGAUUAUGCGCCAGAUGUAAUUUAUGCUCGGUAAAUGCAUAAAUCAGUCAUGUGAGGUGUCUCACCUCAGGUUGCAAGUUCGAACUUCUUGUAAUCUUGCUUGUUUUUAUUUUGUUUCCUUUGUGAGCAUGAGUGACUUAGUUGCCUUGGCACAUAUUGUAAAAACUGUUUCUUCACUGGGAAUCGCAAAAUUUCAAUUACACAUAAUAUUCCCAGUUACUAAUAUGGUAGACUUCGAGCUUAAAUCUCUUAUCUUUCAUAUGUUUAUCUACCAAAUAGUUUUAUCAUUCAUUGAAAUAUAUCCAUGCAAUGCACAGUGGGAACCCAAAUUAUAAAUAUCUGUUCUUGCUUUCCACCCUGCUCUACAACAUAAUGAAGAUACAAAGCAAAACUAUAAGUUUGCAAUUGUCCUCCAUAACCAGAGUUUCGCUUAGAAUUUGAAAAACAAAAUUGACAUCCUGCUAUGGUGUGAGAGUUGCUUUGGGCACCAAGUGAACUGCGUAGCACCUGUGCUAGAGUACACAACAAAGCAGAAAAUCGCACAAGAUUGGAAUGGCAGCGGUAAGUUAAGAACAGAUGUUUUAUUUCGCGCACCAUUUAUGUGGCUUAUCAUCUGCUCCUGUUUUAUUUUGUGGGAACGCAUACAUUAGGAAGACAAUUUUUUGUACCAAUCUUACCUUAGCGGGACACCAGAGAAAGGUAGAAAUCAAGAACAGGUAUUCACACUUUGUUGCCCACAGUGUAUUAUCUGGAUGUGUUUCACUCUACAAAAGACUACUGUGGUAGAUAAUCAUAAAGACAAAGACAAAAGAAUUAAAAGUGGUAUGUGUCAGUCAUCUUUCCGUGACCUCCAGUGUUUAUAGAAACACUUCUUUCUGUAUAUGUGCCAAGCCGUUGGGAGGCUUUACGUAACUCAGUCAUGCUUUCCAAGUUAAAAAUCGGAAUAAGGACAAUCACAAGAACAUCAUAUGAGGAAUUUGUAAAUGUGGCACCUAAUGUAACUUAUUUAUGUAUGUGCUGAGGGUAGAUUACAGCCAGUGCAUAAUAUGCUCUUACAGGAUAACUUGUGAUGAGUAAAAAAAGCCUUCCUCACAUCUUCCUCCUUGUUUCUUUUGGAUCUUGUUGCACCAUGUGUAUUGUUACAGCUGCGUGCAUGCAGCUGGGUAUAGUUUGUUUGUGUUCUGCUUCCUCCCUUGUCCUCAUUAUUCAUGUGCUAUCUUUGCCGUAACAAAAUACAGCUACCUGUGCUACAUAUUUUGUCAGCGUGUUUGCAUUAUGGCAAGCUUUGUAUUAGCGGUUAUUGCAAUCUGUGAAAUAGUCUGUGUCAGCUAUCAUGCUUCGUCUUGGAAAAGUAUGUUUGUCAACAUAAAUAAACAAUUAGUAUAAAUGUUGCUGUAUUUAUUUUUGUAAUAUUAUCUGUUGUGAAGCUUUUAUACACUGUUGCAUGUUGUAUGACAGAAUAAAAUUGAUGCACAACUUUUUAA